GAGGAUGGAUUGGUGCCUUCGGGAACUCUGACACAGGUGCUGCAUGGCUGCGUCAGCUCGUGUCGUGAGAUGUUGGGUUAAGUCCGUAACGAGCGCAACCCUUGUCCUUAGUUACCAGCACGUUAUGGUGGGCACUCUAAGGAGACUGCCGGUGACAAACCGGAGGAAGGUGGGGAUGACGUCAAGUCAUCAUGGCCCUUACGGCCUGGGCUACACACGUGCUACAAUGGUCGGUACAAAGGGUUGCCAAGCCGCGAGGUGGAGCUAAUCCCAUAAAACCGAUCGUAGUCCGGAUCGCAGUCUGCAACUCGACUGCGUGAAGUCGGAAUCGCUAGUAAUCGUGAAUCAGAAUGUCACGGUGAAUACGUUCCCGGGCCUU
rnacentral:rRNA from 1 species